rnacentral:rRNA from 1 species
CCAGACUCCUACGGGAGGCAGCAGUGAGGAAUAUUGGUCAAUGGCCGAGAGGCUGAACCAGCCAAGUCGCGUGAGGGAAGACGGCCCUACGGGUUGUAAACCUCUUUUGUCGGGGAGCAAAGCGAACCACGUGUGGUUCAUUGAGAGUACCCGAAGAAAAAGCAUCGGCUAACUCCGUGCCAGCAGCCGCGGUAAUACGGAGGAUGCGAGCGUUAUCCGGAUUUAUUGGGUUUAAAGGGUGCGCAGGCGGAAGAUCAAGUCAGCGGUAAAAUUGAGAGGCUCAACCUCUUCGAGCCGUUGAAACUGGUUUUCUUGAGUGAGCGAGAAGUAUGCGGAAUGCGUGGUGUAGCGGUGAAAUGCAUAGAUAUCACGCAGAACUCCGAUUGCGAAGGCAGCAUACCGGCGCUCAACUGACGCUCAUGCACGAAAGUGCGGGGAUCGAACAGGAUUAGAUACCCGGGUA